rnacentral:tRNA from 2 species
GGCGGGAUAGCUCAGCUGGUUAGAGCGCAGGACUCAUAAUCCUGAGGUCGAGAGUUCAAGUCUCUCUCCCGCUA